rnacentral:rRNA from 1 species
AAGGCAGCAGGCACGCAAAUUAUCCAAUGCCGGUUCGGCGAGAUAGUGACGAGAAAUAAUGGUUUGAAGCAAAAGCUUUAUAACCAGAAUGGAAUGGAUGCAAAAGAUCCAUUGAUGAACGAGUGGAGGGCAAGUCUGGUGCCAGCAGCCGCGGUAAUACCAGCCUCCACAAGCGUAUGCAAAAGUUGCUGCGUUUAAAAAGCUCAUAGUUGGAUCUGUUUGAAGUGUUACGGUGAACUAGAUUGCAGACGAUGGCGAAAGCUGUCAGCUUUCUGGCGUAAUGCUCUACCUUCGCAUCGGAUAUACAGUAUGCACUUAAUUGUGAUGAACUGUAGAAACGGUGUUUUCACUUUGAGUAAAUUAGAGUGUUCUAAGUGGCCUUUGGGCGUGAAUAAUAAAGCAUGGAAUAAUGGAGAAUGACCCGCUAGCAGUAUAGCCGGUGGCUUGCAAUGCGGUAAUGAUUGAAAGGAACAGUCGGGGGCAUUUGUAUUGCCGGGUUAGAGGUGAAAUUCUUGGAUCCCGGCAAGACAAACUACAGCGAAAGCUUUUGCCAAGAAUGUUUUCAUUAAUCAAGAACGAAAGUUAGAGUAUUGAAGAGGAUUAGACACCCUCGUAAUUCUAACCAUAAACUAUACCAACCUACGAUUGAUCAAAGUCCAAUAUGACUUGAUCAGAAAUUAACCGGGAAACCAAAGUUUAUUGGUUCCGGGGGAAGUAUGGUUGCAAAAUCGAAACUUAAAGGAAUUGACGGAAGGGCACCACCAGGAGUGGAGCCUGCGGCUUAUUUUGACUCAACACGGGAAAACUCACCAGGUCCAGACAUAAUGAGGAUUGACAGAUUGAAUAUCUUUCACGAUUUUGUGGGCGGUGGUGCAUGGCCGUUCUUAGUUAGUGGAGUGAUCUGUCUGGCU